rnacentral:rRNA from 1 species
AUUGAACGCUGGCGGCAUGGCUAAAACAUGCAAGUCGAACGAGCUCUUCGGAGCGAGUGGCGUAAGGGCGAGUAACGCGAUCGAACGUGUCCAGAGGCGGGGGAUAGCCGUGGGAAACCGCGGGUAAUACCCCAUGUGCUCUACGGAGGAAAGGCUUGCCACCUUUGGAGCGGCGAUCGUCCUAUCAGGUAGUUGGAGGGGUAACGGCCCACCAAGCCGAAGACGGGUAGCGGGUGUGAGAGCAUGACCCGCCGCAUCGGAACUGAGACACUGUCCGGACUCCUACGGGAGGCUGCAGUAACGAAUCUUCCGCAAUGGGCGAAAGCCUGACGGAGCAAUGCCGCGUGUGGGAUGAAGCUGCUUCGCAGUGUAAACCACUGUCAGGGUCUAGCAAUACUGAGCAGACCCAGAGGAAGGACCGGCUAAUUCCGUGCCAGCAGCCGCGGCAAUACGGAAGGUCCGAGCGUUAUUCGGAAUCACUGGGCUUAAAGCGUGCGCAGGCGGACCCGAAGGCAUCUCGUGAAAUCCCAGAGCUCAACUCUGGAACUGCGGGGUGAACCACGGGUCUCGAGGCAAGUAGAGGUCAGCGGAACUAUGGGUGGAGCGGUGAAAUGCGUAGAUAUCCAUGGGAACGCCGAUGGCGAAGGCAGCUGACUGGGCUUGUCCUGACGCUCAGGCACGAAAGCGUGGGUAGCGAACGGGAUUAGAUACCCCGGUAGUCCACGCCGUANACGAUGCACACUAGGUCGGGGAGGCUCUCACGCCGUCCCGGCCGAAGGUAAACUGUUAAGUGUGCCGCCUGGGGAGUACGGUCGCAAGACUAAACUCAAGGGAUUGACGGG